CCUGCCUCUAAAACGAGUCUCUCUGGGGAACAUGGCACCAAAUCUAAGAGUCCAAUUAAGCAGGAGAGACCAGCCUCCCCUGUACCCAGCUCUGUGUCCAUGAAGAGUGCCCAGUCUAUGGGUCAUCCUAUAAGGUUUAGAGAGGGAGACUUUUCUACUGAACAAAGAAACCAACAGGAGAGAUCAGAGUCAGAGAUUCUCAGUGGUCAGUCUUCC